UCGUGUUUACUGUGCAGGAUCAGGACGUCUUUCGUGAUUGGGACGUGGAGAAAGAUCCUGGCGUUAACAUUGGCGCUAGAAGGAGGGCUGAGUUCUAGUGUCCUGAGUAUUUUUCAAUCACAAAGUGUGUUUUAUUCUAUUCAGUUUUCAUGGGGAAGAGUAGAACACCUACACCCGAAGGACAGCCGAUGGCUGUCAGUGAAUCAGUACCGCGAGUAUCUGCCAAAGAUCGUUUGGGACCAACUAUAAGUGUUCAUGCUAGCACAGUGUCC
rnacentral:lncRNA from 1 species